rnacentral:tRNA from 1 species
GGUGGCUCAGUAGUAGAGUGCUUACCUUGCAUGCAUGAGGCCCUGGGUUCGAUUCCCAGCACCA